AACGCACAUUGCGCCCCUUGGUAUUCCAUGGGGCAUGCUUGUUCGAGCGUCAUUUGUACUCUCAAGCUUUGCUUGGUGUUGGGUGUUUGUCCUUUCCUUGUGGUUGGACUCGCCUUAAAUUCAUUGGCAGCCAAAGUAUUGGUUUGAAGCGCAGCACAAUUUGCGAUUCUGACUGGUAUUGUUAGCGUCCAGUAAGCACAUUUAACACUUUUGACCUCGGAUCAAGUAAGGAUACCCGCUGAACUUAA
rnacentral:misc_RNA from 1 species